GCCAGCAGCUAUCACUCUGCAUCUCUCAUCUGGUUGCCCACUGAAGUUAAGCAGGGUUGAGCCUGGUCAGUACCUGGAUGGGAGACCUCCUGGGAAAACUAGGUUGCUGCUGGAA
rnacentral:rRNA from 1 species